rnacentral:rRNA from 1 species
AGCAAUAGCUNCUUGCAUAAUUGUAANAAUUAUGCAGGAUCGACUAUGUCGAAUAAAAUUCUAGGUAGAAUUAUGAUAAUGACAUUGUCUACCUAUGUGUCUUGACCAANNUNCNUGCCAGCUNNCGCGGUAAUACGUAGAAGACUAGUGUUAUUCAUGUUUAAUCGGUUUAAAGGGUACCUAGACGGUAAAUCAAGCCUUAAAUUAAAUGANGGGACUAAUUUACUAGAGUUACUUAUGAGGGGGUAUUAAAGUACUGCUGGUGUAGAGAUGAAAUUCUGUCAUACCUCUUUUCAAUAGAAAAACAAUGGCACAGGUAUAGGCGAAAGCAUCCCCUUAUGUGAUAACUGACGUUGAGGGACGAAGGCUUUGUGUAGCGAACAGGAUUAGAUACCCCAGUAGUCAAAGCAGAAAAUGAUGAAUGUCAUAGAUUAGAUAAAUAAGUUUAUUCUAUAAAUGAAAGUGUAAGCAUUCCACCUCAAGAGUAAUUUGGCAACAUUGGAACUGAAAUCAUUAGACCGUUUCUGAAACCAGUAGUGAAGUAUGUUGUUUAAUUUGAUGGCCCGCAAAAAACCUUACCACAAUUUGAAUAUUUAUAUUUUUUUAUUGUUUUCUUUUUAAUUUUCUUCUUAUUUGAUUUUCCUAAAGAAAAAAAGAAAGAGAGGCGAUAUGAUAUAUUUACAAGCGUUGCACGGCUGUCUUCAGUUAAUGUCGCGAGACUUUGGUUAGUUCCAUUAAAUUAACGUAAACCCUUACUUUAUUUUUAUAUAGAGUAGUUCCCCGCUAGAUUGGAUAUGAUAAC